rnacentral:tRNA from 1 species
GCCCGGGUGGCGAAAUGGCAGACGCGCUGGUUUCAGGUACCAGUGGAGUUAAAUCCGUAUCGGUUCGAGUCCGAUCUCGGGCA